GAUGAAGAACGCAGCGAAAUGCGAUAAGUAAUGUGAAUUGCAGAAUUCAGUGAAUCAUCGAGUCUUAGAACGCACAUUGCGCCCCCUGGUAUUCCGGGGGGCAUGCCUGUCCGAGCGUCAUUGCUGCCCUCAAGCACGGCUUGUGUGUUGGGCUCCGUCCCCCCGGGGACGGGCCCGAAAGGCAGCGGCGGCACCGAGUCCGGUCCUCGAGCGUAUGGGGCUUUGUCACCCGCUCUGUAGGCCCGGCCGGCGCCAGCCGACAACCCAUCAUCCUUUUCAGGUUGACCUCGGAUCAGGUAGGGAUACCCGCUGAACUUAAGCAUAUCAAUAAGCGGAGGA
rnacentral:misc_RNA from 1 species